rnacentral:rRNA from 1 species
UACGGGGGUGCGAGCGUUGUCCGGAAUCACUGGGCGUAAAGGGCGCGUAGGUGGUUUUGAUAAGGGUGUGGUGAAAGUCCGGGGCUCAACCCCGGAUCUGCCGUGCCGACUGUCAAACUCGAGGGCUGUAGAGGCAGACGGAAUUCCGGGUGUAGCGGUGGAAUGCGUAGAGAUCCGGAGGAAGACCGGGUGGCGAAGGCGGUCUGCUGGGCAGUUUCUGACACUGAUGCGCGACAGCGUGGGGGACAAACAGGAUUAGAAAACCCC